UACGGAGGGGACUAGCGUUGUUCGGAAUUACUGGGCGUAAAGCGCACGUAGGCGGAUUUGUAAGUCAGGGGUGAAAUCCCGGGGCUCAACCUCGGAACUGCCUUUGAUACUGCAAAUCUCGAGUCCGGAAGAGGUGAGUGGAAUUCCUAGUGUAGAGGUGAAAUUCGUAGAUAUUGGGAAGAACACCGGUGGCGAAGGCGGCUCACUGGCUCGUAACUGACGCUCAUGCACGACAGCGUGGGGAUCAAACAGG
rnacentral:rRNA from 1 species